CAAGGUCUUUCCUUUGAGACACCAUUUGUCUGGCGUGACAAGCAGCCGCAGCAGGACUGAGGCAAUAUGCCUGGCUUCUGCUCCGGCACCUUCUGGGAUGAGGCUUGAUGAGGAAUGAAAUCGUGGCGCUAACGUGUUACCUUGAAAUGGAGCAGCUUGACAUACUCCAAACAGUUCUUUGAGACUCUCUGGAGACGGGCAUCAGUGCUCAGCGAUGUUUCGAUCAGGCCAGGCAGGCAAUAGAAGCGCAAAUUGGGUGGCUUGCUGAGAGCACGUAGGAAUGGCCAUGCUAGUGAUGGAGGGAAAAUCCAGAUCUCCCAAGUACCAGGCCAGCAUCUCCAUAAAAGAUCAUCCUUCUGUAUGGUUUCUGCCCUGGUUCCUGCAUGACGCUCAGCUCUCCUGUGCCUGAAGCGGAGCCUGUGCUUGGGACAAUGCACGCAGCAGCUGAUGGAGAAUGCACCAGGAAUUUGGGGGUGCUCAGGAUAUUCCUCUCUGCAUCCUGUAGACACCAGUGAACAGUACAAGUUUUGCUGCCUCCUCACCUUCGCCUUUUCAGCAGCUCCCAGCUCAGCGACUUUCUUCCAUUUUCCUCCUCACUGCGCCAAGGACAACAGUUUGUCAUCGUGCUGAGUAUACCACAGCACAGCAUCGCAGGUGUGCAGCACGUGCCAGAACGACUUCCUUUUCUUCAGCUGGAACCUAAGACAAAGAAAAGAGUUUGUUGUAACGAGCCACUUACGGAGCAUUUCAUCUUGACAUUGGCAGCGCUAGCACAAGAAAAGUCAAUGCCACAACUUUCCUGCUUUUAAGGACAGCACCCAGAGGAGGAUGGAGCCUUGAGGUCCUGUGAGUGUUAAGAACGUGUUUAAGUUUUGUUUGUUUGCAAGAGAAGAACCUAAUCUGCAGUGCUGGAAAACGAUGAUACAGAAAACCACAAGAACCCAUCAUUCUGGUCUGGUCCCUGGAUUUUGUCAGAAUUUUUAAAUACUCCUUUGCAAUUAAAAUUCUCUCUUGUUUGUCUUCUUGUUAGCAAGGCUGAUUGGGGUUGGGAAG